CACCGCGGUUAUACGAGAGGCCCUAGUUGAUAGAUGCGGCGUAAAGGGUGGUUAAGGAAAGCAAAAAUAAAGCCAAAGGGCCUCCUGGCCGUCAUACGCUUCCGAGAGUCCGAAGCCCAAGUACGAAAGUAGCUUUAACACAAGCCCACCUGACCCCACGAAAGCUGAGGAA
rnacentral:rRNA from 1 species